AGAGUUGAUCCUGGCUCAAGAACGAACGCUGGCGGUGCGUCUUAAGCAUGCAAGUCGAACGGCAAGAGGUAGCAAUACCUCCUAGAGUGGCGGACUGGUGAGUAACACGUGGGUGACAUACCCUUCAGAUGGGGAUAGCUAUUAGAAAUAGUAGAUAAUACCGAAUACGAGCACAGGGGUUAGAGAUCUGUGAGGAAAGGAGCUAAGGCUCCGCUGAAGGAAUGGCCUGCGGCCCAUUAGCUAGUUGGUGAGGUAAGAGCCCACCAAGGCGAUGAUGGGUAUCCGGCCUUAGAGGGUGAACGGACACAUUGGGACUGAGAUACGGCCCAGACUCCUACGGGAGGCAGCAGCUAAGAAUAUUCCGCAAUGGACGAAAGUCUGACGGAGCGACGCCGCGUGGAUGAAGAAGGCCGGAAGGUUGUAAAAUCCUUUGAAACUGAAGAAUAAGCGUUGUAGGGAAUGACAGCGUGGUGACAGUAGGUUUUGAAUAAGCAACGGCUAAUUACGUGCCAGCAGCCGC
rnacentral:rRNA from 1 species